CAGCAGCCGCGGGAAUACGUAGGGUGCGAGCGUUAAUCGGAAUUACUGGGCGUAAAGCAUGCGCAGGCGGUUAUGUAAGACAGGCGUGAAAUCCCCGGGCUCAACCUGGGAAUGGCGCUUGUGACUGCAAAGCUAGAGUGCGGCAGAGGGGGAUGGAAUUCCGCGUGUAGCAGUGAAAUGCGUAGAUAUGCGGAGGAACACCGAUGGCGAAGGCAAUCCCCUGGGCCUGCACUGACGCUCAUGCACGAAAGCGUGGGGGGCGAUCAGGAUUAGAUACCCGAGUAGUCCCUGUCUCUUUACC
rnacentral:rRNA from 1 species